GUAGAUAAGGAAAGUGGCAGGGAAAAGAAAGAAGGCACUACAUCCACAGAAUUUGCACUAGAGUGCACUACCAAUGUCUGCUGAGUAAUAACGUGAUUAGGGAGACCCCUGUGUGGCCAGCAAUACAUUUUGCCAUCACAUUUCUUGGAGCUCUCUUGAUGCAAUUUUGUGUUUGAGGUGGAUAGGAUCGCAGCAGGCAUAAUUGUAACAUCUGAGCAUACUUUCUUAAAAAGAAAAUAAAUCCAUUUUAAAUAGCAUAGCCAAAUCAAGGAAUUUUGUGGGUGCAUGCAUGUAACUGAAAAGUCCAGGGACUUCAGGCAUGGAUGGAUCUAGGAAUUCAAGGAAUACUGUAAGGAUUCAGUUUUACUCUCCAGUCAUUUUUUGGCCCUCUUUCCCUCUGAGUUGACUUUGACUGUAUUUUCAAUGGAGUUUCCCUAAAUGGCUUUUAUACUGUGGGCUUGUGUCAUUUUUACAGAUAGUGGUGUCAGAGAAAAAGCAUUCCUCUUUGCCUUAGCUAGAGUUCCAGGGAGCAUCUGAUUGGCCUGGCACAGUACUAUUCGUAUCCCUGAACCAAUCACUGUGAGGCAGGAGGUGAAGUUCUCUGAUUGGCUAUCUGGAUCACAAGCUCUCUCUCUCUCACUGUGAAAGGGGCGUAGGUAUGAUUGACAGCCCUUCUACAAGACAAGGAACAGUUCCCAAAAUCAAAAGAUAAGGAGCAAAGAUGCUCAUAUUCUGACACACGACUUAUUCUUUCUCCCUUCUGAGCCUUUGCGUGUGUCUCUCCUUCCAGGAGGAAUGCCCUUCCAUUUUUCCUCCCUAAGGAUGUAAUCCCGCCAUCCUUCAAGGCUGUGACAAAUGCCACUGAUGUUUUUUUCCUUCUCAGUUAGAUGGACUUCUUUAUUGAACCCCAAUAGCUUAAGUAUAGAAACUCAUCUGAUUUUACCUUAUAGUAGAAUAGUUUUUGCACACUCAGUGUACCACCGCUUCCGCUCUCAGGGGCAUUUUGCUACUCAUGGACUCACAGGGUCUUGUUUUCAUAUCCUUUGGGUAUAGUUCCAACAGGAGCAUAAGAGGUGCACAAAAUUACCUGUUGAUCUAGCUGUGUUUUCCACUUUUUGUGUAUUUAUACAGCGGACAGCAGAUGAUUAUAAAUUGUUUCUGUUAAUGAAACUUGGGAGAUAAAUACCACUAUUUAGAUGUCAAAAUUAAUGUCUUUUCCAACAUCCGCUUUCCCAGAGAGUGUUGGGGUAUCCACUUCCCCAGAAGGUGCUGCUGUGGAUAAAAUACUUUAAAAAACUUUUACACUUGAUUUUUGGGUUGGUUUAUCAACUAUGAAAAGAAAAUUACUUUGUUUUCAAUGAGGGAUGCUGAAGGUGUUAUUGCCAGACAAUUCUCUAUUGUGGGGGUUGCAUUCUUUGUUGUAGGAUGUUUUAGCAGCAUCCCUGGCUUCUACCCACUGACAGCAAUAACACAGCUCUCCUCUCAGUCCCCAGUAAGGACAAACUAAAUGUCUCUAGGCAUUGCCUGUACUCUGAGAGGGGAAAGUCCUAUGUGGCUGGGGAUCACUAGCUUAAGACCAAAAAUAGGAUUUCUCUAUUUGACCAUCAAAAACAGGGCAAGCUCUGGAAUCAAACUGCCUGGGUUCAAAUCCUGCUUCUCCCAGUACUAGCUCUGUGACUUAGUCACUUAGCGUCUCUAAGCCUCAGUGUCCUCUUCUGUAGAUUGUGAUGAUAACGGUACCUCUCAUCAUCGGGAUAUUGGGACCAGGUAAUGAAUUAAUGCAGGUCAUGCUUAUGGAACACUGCGUGGUACACAGAUGUUCUCUGUCUCUUUUAGUUACUGUCAGGAUUCUGAAUGCUUUUGAUUGUUGGUAGAAAUCACCUUUGUUCUCAAAGGUAGAUUAACCUUCACUUGGAUCAGCAGUAGUAUUUUUUUUGGAACUAGGCCCAGAGCCCUUGCAGGUGACUGCUUGGAAGGGACUAACGCUCCUGUUUUUCUGAAUGCCGAAAGUGGGGGAGUCACAUGACCCCGGAGUCCCCUCUGUAUGCUCCAGCUGAGUAAAUGCACCCUGGGCUAGCUUCUCAAGCUGUCGCCUGCAUUUGUGGAAGCUGACAGAUACCGAUCUAUAUGGCUGGCUCUUCUUGACCUCUCUGAGACAGUCGUUUCCUUGUUUGCAAUGGAACGAGAGA